rnacentral:piRNA from 1 species
UGGGAAGAAUGCCAAGGGCCCACAUGCUA